CAGUAGCCGCGGGAAUACGUAGGUGGCAAGCGUUGUCCGGAAUUAUUGGGCGUAAAGGGCUCGCAGGCGGUCUCUUAAGUCUGAUGUGAAAGCCCCCGGCUCAACCGGGGAGGGUCAUUGGAAACUGGGAAACUUGAGUGCAGAAGAGGAGAGUGGAAUUCCACGUGUAGCGGUGAAAUGCGUAGAGAUGUGGAGGAACACCAGUGGCGAAGGCGACUCUCUGGUCUGUAACUGACGCUGAGGGGCGAAAGCGUGGGGAGCGAACAGGAUUAGAUACCCGUGUAGUCCCUGUCUCUUAUAC
rnacentral:rRNA from 1 species